rnacentral:rRNA from 1 species
GUUGUAUAGUCAAGUAAUUAAGUGCAUGUGGUGGAUGCCUUGGCAGUCAGAGGCGAUGAAAGACGUGAUAGCCUGCGAAAAGCUCCGGGGAGGCGGCAAAUAUCCUUUGAUCCGGAGAUGUCUGAAUGGGGGAACCCACCUACUUUAAGGUAGGUAUUGCAACAUGAAUACAUAGUGUUGCAAGGCGAACGAGGGGAAGUGAAACAUCUCAGUACCCUUAGGAAAAGAAAUCAAUUGAGAUUCCCUCAGUAGCGGCGAGCGAACGGGGAUCAGCCCAUUAAGUUAUGUGUGUUUUAGUGGAACGCUCUGGGAAGUGCGAACGUAGAGGGUGAUAUUCCCGUACACGAAAGGGCACACAUAAUGAUGACGAGUAGGGCGAGGCACGUGAAACCUUGUCUGAAUAUGGGGGGACCAUCCUCCAAGGCUAAAUACUCCUGACUGACCGAUAGUGAACCAGUACCGUGAGGGAAAGGCGAAAAGAACCCCUGUGAGGGGAGUGAAAUAGAUCCUGAAACCGCAUGCAUACAAGCAGUGGGAGCACCUUCGUGGUGUGACUGCGUACCUUUUGUAUAAUGGGUCAGCGACUUAUAUUCAGUAGCAAGGUUAACCGUAUAGGGGAGCCGUAGAGAAAUCGAGUCUUAAUAGGGCGUUUAGUUGCUGGGUAUAGACCCGAAACCAGGCGAUCUAUCCAUGAGCAGGUUGAAGGUUGGGUAACACUAACUGGAGGACCGAACCCACUGUCGUUGAAAAGCCAGGGGAUGACUUGUGGAUAGGGGUGAAAGGCUAAUCAAGCCUGGUGAUAGCUGGUUCUCCCCGAAAGCUAUUUAGGUAGCGCCUCGGACGAAUACCAUAGGGGGUAGAGCACUGUUUCGGCUAGGGGGUCAUCCCGACUUACCAAACCGAUGCAAACUCCGAAUACCUAUGAGUACUAUCCGGGAGACAGACUGCGGGUGCUAACGUCCGUAGUCAAGAGGAAAACAAUCCAGACCGCCAGCUAAGGCCCCAAAAUCAUAGUUAAGUGGGAAACGAUGUGGGAAGGCAUAGACAGCUAGGAGGUUGGCUUAGAAGCAGCCACCCUUUAAAGAAAGCGUAAUAGCUCACUAGUCGAGUCGGCCUGCGCGGAAGAUGUAACGGGGCUAAAACUAUGUGCCGAAGCUGCGGAUNNNNNNNNNNNNNNNNNNNNNNNNNNNNNNNNNNNNNNNNNNNNNNNNNNNNNNNNNNNNNNNNNNNNNNNNNNNNNNNNNNNNNNNNNAUGCUGGAGGUAUCAGAAGUGCGAAUGCUGACGUGAGUAACGACAAAACGGGUGAAAAACCCGUUCGCCGAAAGACCAAGGGUUCCAGUCCAACGUUAAUCGGGGCUGGGUGAGUCGACCCCUAAGGCGAGGCCGAAAGGCGUAGUCGAUGGGAAAAUGGUUAAUAUUCCAUUACUUCUGUGUAAUGCGAUGAGAGGACGGAGAAGGCUAAAUCAGCCUGGCGUUGGUUGUCCAGGUGAAAGGAUGUAGGCAUGUAUCUUAGGCAAAUCCGGGGUACUCUAUGCUGAGAUCUGAUAGCAAGCUGUACUUGUACAGCGAAGUGGUUGAUGCCAUGCUUCCAGGAAAAGUCUCUAAGCUUCAGUUACACAGGAAUCGUACCCGAAACCGACACAGGUGGUCAGGUCGAGUAGACCAAGGCGCUUGAGAGAACUCUGCUGAAGGAACUAGGCAAAAUGGUACCGUAACUUCGGGAGAAGGUACGCUGUUGUUGGUGAUGGAACUCGCUUCCUGAGCUGACGACAGCCGCAGAAACCAGGCCGCUGCAACUGUUUAUUAAAAACAUAGCACUCUGCAAACACGAAAGUGGACGUAUAGGGUGUGAUGCCUGCCCGGUGCUGGAAGGUUAAUUGAUGGGGUUAGCGUAAGCGAAGCUCUUGAUCGAAGCCCCAGUAAACGGCGGCCGUAACUAUAACGGUCCUAAGGUAGCGAAAUUCCUUGUCGGGUAAGUUCCGACCUGCACGAAUGGCAUAAUGAUGGCGGCGCUGUCUCCAGCAGAGGCUCAGUGAAAUCGAAAUCGCUGUGAAGAUGCAGUGUACCCGCGGCUAGACGGAAAGACCCCGUGAACCUUUACUGCAGCUUGACACUGAACUUUGACCUUACUUGUGUAGGAUAGGUGGGAGGCUUUGAAGCUGGAACGCUAGUUCCAGUGGAGCCGUCCUUGAAAUACCACCCUGGUAAUGUUGAGGUUCUAACUCUGUCCCGUGAUCCGGGACGAGGACCGUGUCUGGUGGGUAGUUUGACUGGGGCGGUCUCCUCCUAAAGAGUAACGGAGGAGUACGAAGGUGCGCUCAGCGUGGUCGGAAAUCACGCGUAGAGUAUAAAGGCAAAAGCGCGCUUAACUGCGAGACCCACAAGUCGAGCAGGUACGAAAGUAGGUCUUAGUGAUCCGGUGGUUCUGUAUGGAAGGGCCAUCGCUCAACGGAUAAAAGGUACUCUGGGGAUAACAGGCUGAUACCGCCCAAGAGUUCAUAUCGACGGCGGUGUUUGGCACCUCGAUGUCGGCUCAUCUCAUCCUGGGGCUGAAGCAGGUCCCAAGGGUAUGGCUGUUCGCCAUUUAAAGAGGUACGCGAGCUGGGUUUAGAACGUCGUGAGACAGUUCGGUCCCUAUCUACCGUGGGCGCUGGAAAUUUGAGAGGAUCUGCUCCUAGUACGAGAGGACCAGAGUGGACGAACCUCUGGUGUACCGGUUGUGACGCCAGUCGCAUCGCCGGGUAGCUAUGUUCGGAAGGGAUAACCGCUGAAAGCAUCUAAGCGGGAAGCCUACCUCAAGAUAAGAUUUCCCUAGGACUUUAUGUCCUCUAAAGAGCCGUUCGAGACUAGGACGUUGAUAGGUUGGAUGUGGAAGCAUAGUGAUAUGUGAAGCUGACCAAUACUAAUUGCUCGUGAGGCUUGACUAUACAACACCCAAGCAGUUG